AGUGUAGGCGGUUUCCUAAGUCAGGUGUGAAAGCCCCGGGCUCAACCCGGGAAGUGCACUUGAAACUGGGAGGCUAGAGUAUCGGAGAGGUUGGUGGAAUUCUCGGUGUAGAGGUGAAAUUCGUAGAUAUCGAGAGGAACACCGGUGGCGAAGGCGGCCAACUGGACGAAUACUGACGCUGAGACUCGAAAGCGUGGGGAGCAAACA
rnacentral:rRNA from 1 species